rnacentral:tRNA from 1 species
GUCUUGAUAGUUUAAUUAGAAUAUGGCGGUGAAGUUGCUAAGGUAAUCUAAGAUUUUAGGACA